rnacentral:rRNA from 1 species
AUUGAACGCUGGCGGCAUGCCUUACACAUGCAAGUCGAACGGUAACGCGGGGAGACCUGGCGACGAGUGGCGAACGGGUGAGUAAAGCAUCGGAACGUGCCCAGAAGUGGGGGAUAGCUCGGCGAAAGCCGGAUUAAUACCGCAUGAGACCUGAGGGUGAAAGCGGGGGAUCGAAAGACCUCGCGCUUUUGUAGCGGCCGAUGUCAGAUUAGGUAGUUGGUGGGGUAAAGGCCUACCAAGCCGACGAUCUGUAGCUGGUCUGAGAGGACGACCAGCCACACUGGGACUGAGACACGGCCCAGACUCCUACGGGAGGCAGCAGUGGGGAAUUUUGGACAAUGGGGGGAACCCUGAUCCAGCCAUGCCGCGUGCGGGAAGAAGGCCUUCGGGUUGUAAACCGCUUUUGUUGGGGAAGAAAUCUUCUGGGCUAAUACCCUAGGAGGAUGACGGUACCUGAAGAAUAAGCACCGGCUAACUACGUGCCAGCCGCCGCAGUAAAAC